GACCGCGUAGCUCAGUUGGAAGAGCAUUCGGCUAGUAUCCAAAGGUCGUACGUUCGAAUCCCACCGUGGCCG
rnacentral:tRNA from 1 species